rnacentral:snRNA from 1 species
GCCAGCUUUGGCAGGACAUAUACUGAAACUGGAAUGAUACAAAGAUUAGCAUGGUCCUUGUGCAAGGAUGUCAGAGAAAUGCAUGAAGCAUUAAUUCCAAUAAUUU